AUCCAUAGAAUACAGUAAAUCUGUAGAACUCAGUUUCUACAAGUUUUUAGAUUUAUACUAAUGUGUAGAUUUUGAUUUUUAUACGUUUUAGAUUUACAGGAAAUAUGUAGAACUCGUUUUCUACAAAUUUUUAGAUUUAUAGUAAUGUAUAGAUUUUUGAUUCUACCGGUUUUAUAUUUAAUUAUAGUAAUCUGUAGAUUUCGAUUUCUACAUAUUUUAGAGCAAUGGCUAAGCACAUAAUUUGUAUUCUAAAUAUUUAUCGAGUACAAUUAUUUACGUAGAUCAUGUAUUCUAAACAUAGUAGAUUCAAUGAAAAAAAGUGGAUUUCAUUUUUUUACUUCGUAGAAUGCCAAUUCUACUUUAUGUAAAACAUAAUUUGAAAUUAUGAUUUAAACAUUUUUAGAACUGAAAAAAUACCACUAAAUUCAUAUAUAUGGAUAUUUUAACAGCAAUUACUAUUUUUCUAAUUUUAUUUAGUUUGUAAAAGUAUUUAUUUGAUUUAUUUUCGAAAACACUAAAGAGCAUUAGACGCAAAAGUGGUACAAAAUAGAAAUUGGCCUAAUGGGAUAUAGUUAUCAUUUUUUUGGCCUAAAAGAAAAUUUCCCUAUUAUUUUUCUUUUUAAUGACUAUCUGAACUAUUAUUGAUUUGUACAUGGGUUAUUUGCAUCCGAACUUCCUUAGUACUUUCUCCGAACUUUCCAUUGCGCAAAUAUGUAUUUCUGGCUGAUGUAAGGUGGGCUUCGUUAGCAUGGCAUUGGUUGGAUCUCUACUUUGUUUUAAAAAUCAUUUUCUUAUCUGGUUGUAAAUUUUUUUUGGUGAAAAGCUAAAAUUUUCAAAUACAGAUAAAGAUGUAGACGCAAGGCCGUACCUGAAUACAAGCUUAUUAAGCAUGUGCUUUAGAAUCAGUAUAUUUAAAUAUAUUUUAGGGGAUGGUUUGAAAAAAGAUAAACUGGUUCAUUUGGCUUUGCACUAGUCGUUUGUUUAACUUGUUUAUAGGUCUGAUUUUUCUUCUAUAUCAAUUUUACCAAAUAUUAUAUUAAGGGAUAAUUUGCCUAAUAGCCAUAUAUAGUGUGUAAAUUAGGUAACUAUCAUUGAUUUUGACAUAAUUUAAUGUCAGAUAUUUACACCACUUCCCAACCGGUUUUACCCCUUCCCUUAACAAGUUCUCAGUCAACAUGUGUGAUAAGAAAUGACGUUUCAAGUUGCGAGAGUAAGAGCAUAUGGUUAAGAGUAGGUCUCUAAUAUUCUUUAUGAAAGAAAGAAGAGUCAUCUACGUUAUACAUUAAUUGACCAUAUAUAUAUGCAACGAUUAUUCUAUUCCAUAUCAGCAAAGUAUUAUAUGAUUAUGAUCUCACCCAAAACCUCUAAUACUAAACAUUAUCCAUCUCAUACCCAUAAAUUAAUACUAAACCUAAAUCCCAACUUCAACCCAAACCCACCCCAACCCCUAAAUACUAAACUUUAAAUUUUAAUCAAUAAAUCUUAAACUCAAAUAUAAACCAUAAAUCAAAUAAUAAACUCAAAACCAAAAUAAAAUGGACCAAAUAAAUAACAUAGUACAUAUUAGUUAAAUUAUUAAAUGUCAAUGAUUGCAUGGAAUAAGUUAAUGUUGACCCCAAUCAAACUCCCUCACGUUCUAAAUACUAAACCCUAAACUCUAAUCACUAAACCCUCAUCCAAAACCCUAAACCUAAAUAUAAACCCUAAACCCAAAUCACAAUACUAAAAGCACAAUAUGCUGAGAUUCUAGCAUGUCCACGUCACUUAAAAUAUUCCUCCAAUGAGAACAUUUUAUUUGUACACGUCAUCAGGCUUCAGUUAAUUAUGGGCUUCAACUUUUCGUUUUAUUUGGAGAGUUUCUCUCCUGUAAAGAUAUCCCGUAUAGCACACAAUCUACAAAACCCAUUAUAAGUCUUUUGAAAAUAUGUCAAAAAAGCCCACUACUCCCUUCUAGGUCAUUACUACUUUGCAACGCUUAUGAUCAACUCCAGUUUAUUGCUCAGAAACUCAACCAUCGUCCUUACAUCCACAACGCAGUUACUAAAUGAUUUCAAUCCAGAUCUUCUUUUUCAAUUGUUAUCAAUCGUUUCAAAUCGUUAUUGUUUCAAUUGAUAAUCAUAUUUCUCUCAGCAAUUACUAUUGCAUCGCCCAUAAUCUUCUCCGUCAGGCCAGUAUCUAUCGUGAAAAGAAGAAUGUUGUGGAAUUGUAAAUCAGGCUUCUUAGAUACUCCAGAGAUUACCAGGCACUGCUUCCACAAAAAAGGCUUAGGAGUGGGAAGGUCAAGUAUCCUUCAACGUGUUGUUUUAGUGUCGUCACCAGACAUAGUUAUAUUCUCAAAAGUGCAGUUAUUUGUACACCCUAGGUUGUGCUGUAUAAACAAUGAGCUUGGGUCUCUGAAACCAGAAUUCAGACAGGAGAAUGGAUGAACUGAAUACAGCCCACGAUGAAUCCUAUUGUGUUGGAAGUGGUUUCCUGGUGGUAUUGUAUAGUUCAGAUUACGUUCAAUGUCCUCCUGUCCACAGAGCUUUCCAGACCUGAUAUUGACAAGCCGGUAAGGCCGACAACAUCUCAAGCAACGUGCAGCAUUAAACUGACUUCAUCUUCAAUUUGUACACUGGUUCAUCAGCAUUUCCAGAAGCUGCUUUGUUCUUGGAGCCUGCUGGUAUGGUAAUGAAGAUGUAAGAAAACUUAAUAAUAUUUGAUGUUUUUUUAUACUAGAGAAUUCCGGCUUAUUCCGGCUUGUUACAAAAGUUUGGCAAUAUUGGGAUUUCCAGUGUUUAUUUUAUGUUUCUUUCACUUA